CCUGAGGCUCAGGAGUUCUGUGACUCGGCUGGUCUGCUAAGGAAAGCACCAAAUCCUACCAGGAGCACAGUAGAUGGGAAAUAGUCGACAUCCAUUUGUCUUUGGUUAAGUUAUCCCAGAGGCUGAUCAUGAAGCUGCAGAGAAUACCAGAGCUUUAUUCCGGAGAUGAACCCAGAAAAUACUGGGAGAAAAUGGCAAUAAAUGGCGCCUCAAGAUCCUCAAACCAAAAACCUACAACAUGAACCUCCAAUGUCUGUUCACCCUAGAUUUCUCCAACUUUUACCAAGUCCUUAUGCUGACCCAGAAAAGUGUUGUCCAACAGCUCAUUCAUUGCUUGUAAUAAAACCAAGAA